rnacentral:rRNA from 1 species
UGGGGAAUUUUGGACAAUGGGCGAAAGCCUGAUCCAGCAAUGCCGCGUGUGUGAAGAAGGCCUUCGGGUCGUAAAGCCCUUUCGUUGGGGACGAUGAUGACGGUACCCAAAGAAGAAGCCCCGGCUAACUUCGUGCCAGCAGCCGCGGUAAUACGAAGGGGGCUAGCGUUGCUCGGAAUGACUGGGCGUAAAGGGCGCGUAGGCGGCACAACUCGUCAGGCGUGAAAUUCCUGGGCUUAACCUGGGGGCUGCGUUUGAUACGGUUGGGCUAGAGGAUGGAAGAGGCUCGUGGAAUUCCCAGUGUAGAGGUGAAAUUCGUAGAUAUUGGGAAGAACACCGGUGGCGAAGGCGGCGAGCUGGUCCAUUACGGACGCUGAGGCGCGAAAGCGUGGGGAGCAAACAGGAUUAGAUACCCUGGUAGUCCACGCUGUAAACGAUGUGCGCUGGAUGUUGGGUAACUUAGUUACUCAGUGUCGUAGCUAACGCGAUAAGCGCACCGCCUGGGGAGUACGGCCGCAAGGUUA